UGGGGAAUAUUGCACAAUGGGCGCAAGCCUGAUGCAGCCAUGCCGCGUGUAUGAAGAAGGCCUUCGGGUUGUAAAGUACUUUCAGCGGGGAGGAAGGGAGUAAAGUUAAUACCUUUGCUCAUUGACGUUACCCGCAGAAGAAGCACCGGCUAACUCCGUGCCAGCAGCCGCGGUAAUACGGAGGGUGCAAGCGGUAAUCGGAAUUACUGGGCGUAAAGCGCACGCAGGCGGUCUGUCAAGUCGGAUGUGAAAUCGCCGGGCUCAACAAGGGAACAGCAUUGGAAAAUGGCAGGCGAGGGUCUUGUAGAGGGGGGUAGAAUUCCAGGUGGAGCGGUGGAAUGCGUAGGGAUCUGGAGGAAUACCGGUGGCGGAGGCGGCCCCCUGGACAAAGACUGACGCUAAGGUGCGAAAGCGUGGGGAGCAAACAGG
rnacentral:rRNA from 1 species